rnacentral:lncRNA from 1 species
UUCAAAUAUAUUUUAUUGCUAAUCAAAGCGCCCACAAGGAGCAGAACAAUCAACAUUAAUUACAUACAAAUGAUUACAAGUGAUUCAAUAUGAUUAAGACACAAUGUUAUAAAAAAACAAAAAAAAACAAAAACAACGAAACCAAAAAAUAUUUAUUAAGACAAGUACAAGAAUACAACAAGCACAGUGUUUAAUAAUAUAAGGGGGG